rnacentral:lncRNA from 1 species
GGAACACAGCAUGAGGGAACACCGCAUGAACAUGAAAGACAGAGGGUUCCAGAAGGAUGUUCUCUCAACCCCAGUUCCAGGACACUUGCCCCACGGUAUCUUGGAGCCUGCCCAGACCUCUCAUCCUGUCCAAUCACUAUAUCAUCCCCAGUCACUUCCAAAUUCCUCUGGAGGUCUGGAGAGCAUGACCAUGGACAAAGAAGCAAGACAAAUGAGUGGAGACGGAAAAAAGCAAAAGGGAUCACAAGGAAUGACUGAGCUAUUGAACCGAACAAACUAUCAUGAAUACGUGGGACAGAGUGUGACACAAGGGAUUGGAUCAUCAAGGGAGAAGGACUGGGGAGGUCAGAAGGGCGCAACACAAGCGGGAGGAUUCCAAGGGGAUGCAGAAGAGGAUCCCAGCAGAAAGAACUCAGGUACAGAAGACGGCCUAACGAAAUACACCAUACUGGAAGGAAGCAUGACAGUGGCUGAUGAAGCCUCCAUCGCUAGCAGAACCAGAAGACAGGAUCAAUUAAGAGAGUUACAGGCCCCCCUCAUGACAACUCAAGGAGGGAACAUGAUAUACCAACCAUGGAGUCAUCGAGACUUGGAGGGUUUGGUGUCCAAACUUCCUCCCCUCAGCGGCGGAGGACAAAAGUGGAUUUCGGAAUUUGAAAAGUAUACUGCAGGAGACAGAGUGUGUGUGGGUGAUUUGAGAUGUGUCAUCGCCAGACUGGAAGGAAGUCUGAAGGCGAGGGAAAUUGACACUAAAACAGGAUGCAGUAGGGCGGAUGAUGAACUGUCGUUCAAUGCAUACAGGAAUCACUACUGGACUGCCCUGAGAGACACCUACCCCACCACUCGCAGCCUGACAGCUAUGUCCAGCCUGAAGAAAGGAAUUGAAGAAGACAUGCAUCUUUUCUUAAAAAGGAGCGAAGGCGUCUGGAUAGAUGGCACUGGAGAGAGACAUGACUCCACCCCAGCAGUCACCAUGCUAUGGAGAAAUGCAGUGAUAAAGGCCCUGCCUCCUCGAGUUCGAGAACAACUGGAGGAUGUGGUGGGACUAGACACAAAGUCUGAUGAGGAAUGGAGAGAAUACCUUGUACACCACGACCUUAAGAACAGGAAAACAGAAGGAGAUAAAAACGAUGAAGUGAAUGUGCUUACCAAGAGAUUGCUAAGGAUGCAAGUGGCUGAAAAAGACAGCGAGGCUUCAAGGCUUAAGAGAGAGAAGAGACAAAUGGUGAUGGGUUCUCCAGCUGCAGUGGAAUUCGAAGCAGAAGGGCGAGCGCAGCAACAGGCUGCACUGGAGGUCAGUGCUCAGCCCUAUUACCCUACAGGGCCGGUCAGGGCUCAUCCCUAUAAUAGUGAAGCCCAGUUUAGUGCUCCGCCUUACUACCCGGCAGAGCCACGCGGAGAACAGUGGAGAGCGGGAGGAAAUCGCUACAGAGCCAGAGACCAGUCAACUGCAUGCUUUGUUUGUGGAGAUCCCAGCCAUUGGGCCAGAGAUUGCCCAAGACAACCAAGGGCUCAGGG